GAUGAACGCUGGCGGCGUGCCUAAUACAUGCAAGUCGAGCGAACAGACGAGGAGCUUGCUCCUCUGACGUUAGCGGCGGACGGGUGAGUAACACGUGGAUAACCUACCUAUAAGACUGGGAUAACUUCGGGAAACCGGAGCUAAUACCGGAUAAUAUAUUGAACCGCAUGGUUCAAUAGUGAAAGACGGUUUUGCUGUCACUUAUAGAUGGAUCCGCGCCGCAUUAGCUAGUUGGUAAGGUAACGGCUUACCAAGGCAACGAUGCGUAGCCGACCUGAGAGGGUGAUCGGCCACACUGGAGCUGGGACACGGUCCAGACUCCUACGGGAGGCAGCAGUAGGGAAUCUUCCGCAAUGGGCGAAAGCUUGACGGAGCAACGCCGCGUGAGUGAUGAAGGUCUUCGGAUCGUAAAGCUCUGUUAUUAGGGAAGAACAAAUGUGUAAGUAACUAUGCACGUCUUGACGGUACCUAAUCAGAAAGCCACGGCUAACUACGUG
rnacentral:rRNA from 1 species